rnacentral:rRNA from 1 species
GAUGAACGCUGGCGGCGUGCCUAAUACAUGCAAGUCGAGCGAACAGAUAAGGAGCUUGCUCCUUUGACGUUAGCGGCGGACGGGUGAGUAACACGUGGGUAACUUACCUAUAAGACUGGAAUAACUCCGGGAAACCGGGGCUAAUGCCGGAUAACAUGUUGAACCGCAUGGUUCUACAGUGAACGGCGGCUUUGCUGUCACUUAUAGAUGGACCCGCGCCGUAUUAGCUAGUUGGUGAGGUAACGGCUCACCAAGGCAACGAUACGUAGCCGACCUGAGAGGAUGAUCAGGAACAGUGGACAUGAGACACGGUCCAGAGUCCUACGGGAGGCAGCAGUGGGGAAUAUUGGACAAGGGGCGAAAGUCUGAUACAGCCAUGGCGAGUGUGUGAAGAAGGUCUUCGGAUUGUAAAGCACUUUAAGUUGGGAGGAAGGGCAGUAAGUGGAUACCUUGCUGUUUUGACGUUACCAAAAGAAUAAGCACCGGCUAACUUCGUG